UGAAAAACUCUGUUUACCACUCACGCACUAAACACAUAGGCAUUAGACAUAAGACACCAUUUCAUACAUGAAAUUUAUGACGGUAAUGAAACAGGAGUUAAAUAUGUGCCAACAGAGAAAAUGCCUGCUGAUGUGCUGACAAAAACAUUGACUACUUCGAAACAUUCUUAGUGCUGUAAAUUAAUUAGAAUAACUGUAAAUGAUUAAUGUUUAUUUUUUUUUCAGCCGCCAAACAUCGAAAGGGGGGAUUGUUGUACCAUAAAUUAUAAUACGACGUUUAGCUUGAGAACGCUUCUCCUACCGGAUGUGCAGUUUGCAUUUAUCUUAGCGGUGAUGGCAUAACUCUUUUGUAUAUAACUACUGGAAAUGUUGUUUACUCUACUGAAUAUACAGAAAUAUAUUUUGGAGAAACCUAGCAGCUGCACUGCACGAAGAAUUUCCAGAAUUGCACGCUACAAGUAUGUGUUAUGCCGAUCCAGCGUAGAAUAUUGGCAAGACGAACAACUAUCAUCUUUUGAAAAUACGGAUCAAGUGCAUAAAAUUUAUUUACAGACUUCCAGUGACGGGCCAAAUUUAAGAAAGCUGCUACUAUAAUGAAAGCUUCGUAUAAAUAAUUACAAAUGUUAACAAUUAUCUUAUCCUAAUUCUAAAAGAAUAUUCCUACAGUGUGCUAAAUAACGAAAUACUGAUGUUAUCACUACAACUAAAUGAUAUUUUUGCAAGAAAUAAAUAAGCAUCGCUGGUUCAUUGUGUAAAACUGUUUUAUUCGUUAUAAUUGUGAUUUUUAUUAUGAUAUAAAGAUUGUUUAAUAUGUUGAAAAUAAAGAUACCU